AACAAAACGCCGCUAUUUGGAUAUAACAAUGGAUUAUUUGGGACCAAACCAACAUUUGUUAUUGAAGUAGAAGUCCUGGGAGUGCAUUCUGACGAAGAUCACCAAAGGUUCUGGGACGGCGGAUCAUAAUUAGUCAUGCAGCUAAUUUCCCACAAUGCCCUGCAGCCCUGGUCUCCAGCGGCACGCUCAUACAUAUUCAACAGUAUGCUAAUGAGCACCACUGCACCCAGGUGAGAUGCUGCCACGGAGAAGGCCAAUCAGAACACGGACACGCUGACCAAUCAAAUGACAGAACUGAAACAGUGACCAAUCAGAUUCUAGAACACAGACACACUAAUCAAUCAGAGCCC
rnacentral:lncRNA from 1 species